rnacentral:rRNA from 1 species
GACGAACGCUGGCGGCGUGCUUAACACAUGCAAGUCGAACGGAAAGGCCCUGCUUUUGUGGGGUGCUCGAGUGGCGAACGGGUGAGUAACACGUGAGUAACCUGCCCUUGACUUUGGGAUAACUUCAGGAAACUGGGGCUAAUACCGGAUAGGAGCUCCUGCUGCAUGGUGGGGGUUGGAAAGUUUCGGCGGUUGGGGAUGGACUCGCGGCUUAUCAGCUUGUUGGUGGGGUAGUGGCUUACCAAGGCUUUGACGGGUAGCCGGCCCGAGAGGGUGACCGGCCACAUUGGGACUGAGAUACGGCCCAGACUCCUACGGGAGGCAGCAGUGGGGAAUAUUGCACAAUGGGCGGAAGCCUGAUGCAGCAAAGCCGCGUGCGGGAUGACGGCCUUCGGGUUGUAAACCGCUUUCGCCUGUGACGAAGCGUGAGUGACGGUAAUGGGUAAAGAAGCACCGGCUAACUACGUG